UUGGAGGGCAAGUCUGGUGCCAGCAGCCGCGGUAAUUCCAGCUCCAAUAGCGUAUAUUAAAGUUGUUGCAGUUAAAAAGCUCGUAGUUGAAUUUCGGGGUCAGUAGGUUGGUCGUGCCACUGGUAUGUACUGGUCUCACUGAUUCCUCCUUCCUGAUGAGCCGUAAUGCCAUUAAUUUGGUGUUGCGAGGAAUCUGGACUGUUACUUUGAAAAAAUUAGAGUGUUUAAAGCAAGCUAACGCUUGAAUACAUUAGCAUGGAAUAAUGAAAUAGGACGUUCGAUCCUAUUUUGUUGGUUUCUAGGAUUGACGUAAUGAUUAAUAGGGAUAGUUGGGGGCAUUAGUAUUCGAUUGUCAGAGGUGAAAUUCUUGGAUUUAUUGAAGACUAACUACUGCGAAAGCAUUUGCCAAGGAUGUUUUCAUUAAUCAAGAACGAAAGUUAGGGGAUCGAAGACGAUCAGAUACCGUCGUAGUCUUAACCAUAAACUAUGCCGACUAGGGAUCGGAUGAUGUUAAUUUUUUAAUGACACAUUCGGCGCCUUACGGGAAACCAAAGUGUUUGGGUUC
rnacentral:rRNA from 1 species